AUGAACAGAAUUCUCAUUAUUCUCAUUAUUCCACACCCUUAUUUGGUAUUUGUCAGUGUUCUGGAUCUUGGCUGUUCUAACAGGUGUGUAAUGGUAUCUCAUUGUUUUAAUUUGCAUUUCCCCAAGGAAAUGUGGAGCACCUUUUCAUGUGCAUAUUUCCAUCUGCAUAUCUUCUCGGUGUAUUGUCUAUUCGGACUGCUCCAGGUGCUGGACGGAAAGUUGAUACUAGAGGAACAUGAGCAGAAGCAUGGAAAGUAG
rnacentral:lncRNA from 1 species